ACAAAAACCAAAUAUUGGAGAAGAAAUACAAAUCUAUGGUAAUCAAGAAUGAAUAUGUUUUAAUAGAUCUGAUCAUAAACUCACAAUUCAUCGGAUCGCAACAAACACACCGCAAAAGAAAGAGUUACAUCAUAUGGAUCUCCAAGAGACCAUUGUAUUGAGAAAUAAAAUGAGGGAGAAAGCCAUCUAGCUACUGCCUAUGGGCCCGUAGGUCUGAUAUGAACCACUCACACAUCAUCGUAGGAGCACCAAUGAGGAUGGUCAACGCCUCCAUGAUCGUGUUCCUCUCUAGAAAGGGCUCUAGACUGGAUUUCGUCGCUCUAGACCUUCCGGAGGCUGAAACAAUUUUCCGU
rnacentral:lncRNA from 1 species